rnacentral:lncRNA from 1 species
CCGCGGCGCUCUUCAUCCGGAUUCAGCCGUUUCCCCCAUGGAUCAUGCGCGAUCCCAGCACCCCAUCCGCAUCCGGGUACCCUGCGGCCAGCCGGGAUGAGCAUCCCGGACGAUCCUCUCCACAAAAGCCGGCUUCAAAGGGUGGGGGCGAUCUAUAAGAGAGGAGGGGGGGAAAGAAGAAAGGGAGCGCUCAGUUGGGGAGAAGGGGGGGGGAAGAGCUCACAUCCGAAAGAGAGAAGAACAGAGGAUGCUCUGUUCUUGAGAAAAGA